rnacentral:SRP_RNA from 1 species
CGGCCGGGCCCGUGAGACGGGUGGCCUGUGAACCUGGUCAGGGCUUGAUCGCAGCAGCCAUAAGCGGUGUCGUCCGAGCCUGCGGUGUCCUGGCCGUCC